rnacentral:rRNA from 1 species
UACGAAGGGGGCUAGCGUUGCUCGGAAUCACUGGGCGUAAAGCGCACGUAGGCGGCUUGUUAAGUCAGGGGUGAAAUCCUGGAGCUCAACUCCAGAACUGCCUUUGAUACUGGGAGUCUCGAGUCCGGGAGAGGUGAGUGGAACUGCGAGUGUAGAGGUGAAAUUCGUAGAUAUUCGCAAGAACACCAGUGGCGAAGGCGGCUCACUGGCCCGGUACUGACGCUGAGGUGCGAAAGCGUGGGGAGCAAACAGG